rnacentral:lncRNA from 1 species
AUUUAUGUCUCUUGCAGAUGAGGUCAUUUAUGUAUCUUACAACUGCUGCUGUAUGAAAACAGGAGGGAAUUUGGAAACUUAUAUUAUGAACAAUCAGAUUGACGGUUUAGGGACUUUCAAGCAAUAAAUCGUAUCGAAUUAGUAAAUAUUUACAGAUGACAUGGCAGCAAAAGUUGCUAAUAUUCUCAGUUUUCCUUAGAUUGUCCUUUGUUAUUAAGCUAUAUAGAAUUAAGCUAUUUUCUUUUCCUUAGAGUAAAUAGCAGAAUAUAAAAUCAAGUGCAUAAAGUUGAAAGUUGUAGUGCUUUUUAAAU